CCUACGGGAGGCAGCAGUAGGGAAUAUUGCUCAAUGGGGGAAACCCUGAAGCAGCAACGCCGCGUGGAGGAUGAAGGUUUUCGGAUUGUAAACUCCUUUUGUUAGAGAAGAUAAUGACGGUAUCUAACGAAUAAGCACCGGCUAACUCCGUGCCAGCAGCCGCGGUAAUACGGAGGGUGCAAGCGUUACUCGGAAUCACUGGGCGUAAAGAGCGCGGAGGCGGGAUAGCAAGUCAGAUGUGAAAUCCUAUGGCUUAACCAUAGAACUGCAUUUGAAACUGUUAUUCUAGAGUAUGGGAGAGGUAGGUGGAAUUCUUGGUGUAGGGGUAAAAUGCGUAGAGAUCAAGAGGAAUACUCAUUGCGAAGGCGACCUGCUAGAACAUAACUGACGCUGAGGCGCGAAAGCGUGGGGAGCAAACAGGAUUAGAUACCCGAGUAGUC
rnacentral:rRNA from 1 species